AGGAAUCUGGAGUGCUGGCCAUUUAAUGAUGUGAGUCAAGAGAUAUGAGUGGUAUUUAAAGCCACAAGCCUGGGAAAGAUCACCAGGUGCUUGUGUGUAGACGGAGGCCCGGGGCUUAGGCUGGGGCACACAAACAGUGAUCUGGCCGCGGGAAGGGUCCGUAAGAGAGAUGAGUGAGGGCUUUGGACUCUCGGGCUUAAUGGCUACUUGCCCCUAAGCCUCCCAGGAGAGGGCUGGAGGUGGUGGGGACUGAAUGGGAGAAUGGGUAGACAGCGAAUGUGGACGUAGGUUUGGAGACGUCUGCCGUGGAAGGAAGCAGAGAUGAGACAGAGGCUGGUGAGACUUAAGGUGGACUUUUAAAAAAAUCUGAGAAACCAGGUCAAACCAGGGCAGGCUUGAGCGGGGGGAUGGAAAGGAGAAAAGGUCUAGAGAGAGCCUUCUCUGUUCGCCUGAGGAAGUGGGGCUUCGAGGUCCCCCGGCCCCCAGCAGGAGGCAAACCCUACCACAGACUGCCCAGGUGCCCAAGGACUGGGGUGCACCGACUGGGCAUGCGCACUUGGCAUCAGGCGCCGCUGUUCGCGCAUGCCCUGCGCCCACUUCCGGGGCGGGUCCCGGAAGUCGUUAGGGAACUCGGCCGAGAAGUCGGCUUCUAAAUCGUUUGCUGUCGUUUUUCCUCACUCGCUGGUCCUGGCACUGCUACCGCUCCCGCCGCCAUGGGGAAACGGCAGCAUCAGAAGGACAAGAUGUACAUUACCUGUGCUGAAUACACUCACUUCUAUGGUGGCAAGAAACCAGAUAUCCCACAAGCAAAUUUUCGUCGCUUACCUUUUGAUCACUGCAGUCUCUCUCUGCAGCCCUUUGUCUACCCAGUCUGCACCCCCGAAGGAGUCGUCUUUGACUUGCUUAACAUCGUCCCUUGGCUUAAGAAGUAUGGGACCAACCCCAGCAAUGGAGAGAAGCUGGAUGGGAGGUCCCUGAUCAAGCUGAACUUUGCAAAGAACAACGAAGGAAAGUACCACUGCCCAGUGCUAUUCACCGUGUUCACCAACAACACCCACAUCGUAGCUGUCAAGACCACGGGCAAUGUCUAUACCUAUGAGGCAGUGGAGCAACUAAAUAUCAAGGCCAAGAACUUCCGAGACCUGCUGACAGACGAGCCCUUCUCUCGGCAGGACAUCAUCACCCUCCAGGACCCCACCAAUUUGGACAAAUUCAAUGUCUCCAACUUCUUUCAUGUGAAGAAUAACAUAAAAAUAACAGAUCCUGAUGAAGAAAAGGCCAAACAGGACCCAUCUUAUUAUUUGAAAAAUACAAACGCCGAGACCCGAGAGACGCUGCAGGAGCUCUACAAAGAGUUCAAAGGGGACGAGGUUCUGGCUGCCACCAUGAAAGUCCCAGAGAAGAAGAAAGUGGACAAGCUGAAUGCUGCGCACUAUUCCACUGGCAAGGUCAGCGCCUCCUUCACCUCCACUGCCAUGGUUCCAGAGACUACGCACGAAGCAGCUGCCAUCGAUGAGGAUGUGCUGCGCUACCAGUUUGUGAAGAAGAAGGGCUAUGUGCGGCUGCACACCAACAAGGGCGACCUCAACCUGGAGCUGCACUGCGACAUGACACCAAAAACCUGUGAAAACUUCAUCAAACUCUGCAAGAAGCAGUAUUACGAUGGCACCAUCUUCCACAGAUCCAUCAGGAACUUUGUGAUCCAGGGGGGAGACCCCACUGGCACAGGCACAGGUGGGGAGUCAUACUGGGGAAAGCCCUUCAAAGAUGAAUUCCGGCCCAACCUCUCGCACACGGGCCGGGGUAUCCUCAGCAUGGCCAACUCGGGACCCAACACCAACAAGUCUCAAUUCUUUAUCACCUUCCGCUCCUGCGCAUACCUUGACAAGAAGCACACUAUCUUCGGGCGGGUUGUCGGGGGCUUUGACACACUGACAGCCAUGGAGAACGUGGAGAGUGACCCCAAAACUGACCGCCCUAAGGAGGAGAUCCGCAUUGACUCCACCACGGUGUUUGUGGACCCCUACGAGGAGGCUGACGCUCAGAUUGCUGAGGAGCGGAAGAAGACGCAGCUCGAGGAGGUGGCCCCAGAAAGCACAGUGAAAACAAGCCAGCCCAAGCCGGGGAGCCAGGGCCCCCAGACGUACCGCCAGGGGGUGGGCAAGUACAUCAACCCGGCAGCCACGAAACGUGUAGCAGAGGAAGAGCCCUCAACCAGUGCAGUUGUCCCUGUAGCCAAGAAAAAACCCAGCCGAGGUUUUGGGGACUUCAGCUCAUGGUAGCAGCAGCCUGUGCCAGCCUGGUUUCCAUGCUUCUGACCUUGACACGGCUACCUCGGCCUUCCCAAAGUGCCUCUGCAGAAGGGUGGGGACAGCUGCCGCCUCCCACUGUCUGUCUCCUUUGGCCCCAAGACUGUCCACUCCUCACACCCACUCCUAAGGCCUAUGGUCUAAAGGUCAUAUCUGUGUCACCCGCCUAAAGCUCAUCAGCCUGUGGUCAUCCUGCUUCAGGCCUGCCACCAGCUUUCCUCUGUGCUGAGAACAAGGCUGAGCCCCACAGGCACCCUGUGCCUCUGCAAUCCCUUGCCUGUGACCAUAGCUGGAACCAGGGACCUGGGCUCUAGGGAGUGACCUCUCAGCCUCUGCCUUUGGCCCUCAUCCCUCUUCAUGACCUCACCACUACCCUCCCAAUUAUUGAAGGGCUUACACUCCAGUGUUUGUGCCUGAAAUGUAUCCCAAGAGUCUGGUUCACCCAGGAGGAGAGGGCUGGAUGCAGUGACAGCCAUGUAAACGCACUUAUAGGCCACUGACUAGUCGCUCGUGGACUCCGGGUACGUGGGGGUGAAGAGGGAGUCCCAGAGGGCUCCUAACCCCUCAGCGUUCAGGAGGGGGUGAGCUCAAGUUAGGUGUUCUCGGGCUACGUGCACAAGCCCAACUGGUAGGAGCCCGGUGACACAGAGCUCUAGGAGACAGUGGGCCGCAUGGCCCCACAUGGGACCGGAGCCGCAGCAGGGAAAGCUCUGUUGCCUUAUGCCUGGACUCACUGAGGCCCGCCCAGCAAGGACCAUGGGUAGUCACAGCCACAUUCCCCUGUGGCCCACACCCAGGACUACCUGCCUCUCCACCUCAAGGAACAGGAGGACCCCACAUGGGAGAAGCCAUGGACAAUGAGAACUGUGGGAAUCCAGGGCCCCCAGUGCCCACAACAGGAGGUGCUACUGGGAAGGACACAUCUGACAUUGGAAGCUUUAUUUUUGAACCUCACACGGACACAGAGGACAGAGGGCUGGACGCAGAGGCUGAAGGAGGCUUGUGCACGUGAGCUUGACAGUCCUGCUCCAAGGGGCAAACCUUCGGGCUGUUGUCCAUUGGUCCGUCCCUCCAGCUGCACCCAGUGACCACAUGCACCUGGCCCAAGGCAUGGCCAGGCCACUCUGGCUGCAGAUCCACCCAAGAGCCUUUGACAAAUGAGGGUUUACAUUUCUGUAGGUCAUUUUGGAACUUAGUUUUCUAGGUAUUAAAACCACUUGGAUUUUUUAAGUACCUGGUGAAGUCAUCAGGUAAAUUAAAGGACUUUUGAAAAAAGA